GUUCCGCUCAAAAAGACGACUGCCUAAUUUACUUUAUUUUUGGAAAAGAGAUGUGGACGUCCUGCGUCUUGUUUUAUUCUACUCUGAAGAAAAUAUUGACGCACUCUCUUCUGCGUCACUGAGAAUCAUGGAAUUCUAUUUAGUCCCGCGGCUAAAGAUGAAAAUGGAUCGAAUAAUAUCCAUUCAGAUCCAUUUUGAGAUUC
rnacentral:lncRNA from 1 species